rnacentral:rRNA from 1 species
GAGCGGAACCUUCGGAUGUGAGCGGCGGACGGGUGAGUAACCCUGGGCAAUCUGCCUGACAGACUGGAAUAUCGCCUGUGAAACUGGUGCUAUUGCCAGAUAGCGCAGCGGGUAGGCAUCUACCAUCUGGGACAGGUGCUACGGCACUACUGUCAGAGGAGCCCGCGGCGCAUUAACUAGUUGGUGAGGUAACGGCCCACCAAGGCGACGAUGCGUAUCCGACCUGAGAGGGUGACCGGCCACACUGGGACUGAGACACGGUCCAUACUCCUACGGGAGGCACUAGUAGGGAAUCUUCCGCAAUGGGCGACAUCCUGACGGAGCAUCGCCGUGUGAGCGAAUAAUGCCUUCUGGUUGUACAGCUCAGUCACCCGGGAAGAUCGAAUCUUAGAUGGAAUGCUCCUAUUGAGACGGUACCGGGAUAUGAAGCCCCGGCUAACUACGUGCCAGCAGCCGUGGUAAU